rnacentral:rRNA from 1 species
UACGUAGGGCGCAAGCGUUGUCCGGAAUUAUUGGGCGUAAAGAGCUCGUAGGCGGCCAGUUGUGUCUGCUGUGAAAUCCCGGGGCUCAACCCCGGGCGUGCAGUGGAUACGGGCUGGCUAGAGGCAGGCAGGGGAGAACGGAAUUCCCGGUGUAGCGGUGAAAUGCGCAGAUAUCGGGAGGAACACCAGCGGCGAAGGCGGCGCUCUGGGCCGGAACUGACGCUGAGGAGCGAAAGCGUGGGUAGCAAACAGG